UUUUACUCUCCCAAUCCUUUACAGCCCUGAAGUUUAUUCUGAUCACUCAGUGAUUUUAACUACUUAAACCUCUUACAGAAUGCUUUUUGGAAUUGGAGGAUGAAUUUUUACAGUGUCCUAGCAACCCUACUGAACUUGUUUAAUAACAACUGUUAAUCACUGCAUGAAAUUUUCUGUUCUACACUACAUUAAUGGUUUGAAAAUCUUUUCUUAUUUUUCUUAUUUUUCUCUGAUCCUGUCUUGAUUUGACCCAUCUACCAGUCUUCUUCAUUUCCUACCCCUGUGACGCUAGUGGUUUUCUUGUCUUAUGCCAAGCUUUUUCUUGCCUUAAGAUUUGCCUUUAGGUUUUCUUCAACCCAAAGCUCUCUGUCCUGGCUCCUUCAUACCUUCCUUCUCUCAGCUCAAAUGUCAUAUCCUCAGAGAUCUUUUCUGACCAUCUACUCCAAAGUACUCCAAACUCCACUCCUGUCUCUAUCCUUUUAUUUGACUUAUUUUCAUAGCCUUUAUCAUUACAUGGAAUUAUUUCUCAUUUGUUUGCUUGUUUGUUCUAUGGCUCCCCUUAAUCUUGUUGUCCUCCUCUCUCACUAGUAUGUGAAGUCUAAGAAAGAAGAGUUUUUUUUUUGGGGGGGGUGUUAGCUUAUUUCAGUUAUUGCUGUAUUCUCAGAGUAUGGCAAAUGUCUGGUGGAUCAUAGACAUUCAAUAGUUUUUUUGUUGAAUGAAUGAAUGAGCUCUCAUAUUCCUCUCCCCAUCAGCAUUGGGUGGGCCUUGGGCAACCAGCUCAACCCAGGAGCUCUUGAUCCUGCCCACUGGGAACUACAAUAACAGCACCUGGUCUGGCUGGUGGACGUGGUAACAGUGUGGAGCUUUAACAAGUUUGAAAAAGCUCAACUCACUCUGCUAUUAAAUGGAAAUAUUGGAAUCUUAGACUUAUUAAUAUUUUUGUGCUUAAAAUCUGUGUUUAUGCUUCAACAAGCCAGAAUUGGAAUGACUGGGCACCAAAAUGAAACAUUUUAUUUUAAAUUAUUUUAAUUACUUUGCCAAAUGGAAUAAGGUUUAAACAAUUUAAAGACAAGCACUUUCAUUAGCUUAACCUAUAGGCAGAAUAUCUGCUUUCUCUUAUUUAAAUACGUAUUGCAGCUUUAAAUAAUGGAAUCGGUUGUUAACCUUAACUUAUUUAUUGUCAUACAGGUCACUUUCUCUGUAAAUGCAUAACAUUAUAAGUUCCAAAGGAAGUAAUGUGGCAUUCAAGAUUCUACAAGGAGAAUCAAGGAGAGUUGCCUGCACACAGAAGGAUUAUGUUUUCCCUCAGCCUUGCAAUUGGGAAGGGCCAUGUAACUAGUUCUGGCCAAUGGGCUAUGAGCACAAGAGACUUGUAAUUUUGUCAUGUAAUCACUGGCUCGGGACCUGCAGCUCUCUCUUUCCCUUCCGUGGCGUCUCAGGAGGCUACACAUUCCAGAUGGUGCACACAUAAGAUGGGAGAACCUCUAUAAACCGGGCUCCCUCAGUGACUCUCUGGUGACCUAUGUGGAGUCUGUAGCAUGGGUCCCUGAGUCACUGAGUCCCUAAAUGACUGUCUGUGGAUCUGUUUGGGAAACAUAGCAUGAGCCAGAAAUUAUAGUUUUGUCCACUGAGAUUUGGUGGUUGAUUGUUACUGCAUUGUAGCCAAUCCUAAAUGCAUAAUAUAGUUGAGGAGUAGGAGCUGGGGUUGAUUUUUAUUAGCUUAUGUCGAGUUGAAAAGAUUUAUAAAUAUUAAUAAAAUCACUUUAAACUACCUUGCCAUUUUUUUUUUAAAGAACAAAGAAAUUUGUGCAAUGUAUGCUUGCAUUUAAAAAAGGGGAAUACUUUGUGUAUUCCGGAUUUUU